rnacentral:rRNA from 1 species
UUGAACGCUGGCGGCAUGCCUUACACAUGCAAGUCGAACGGCAGCACGGGAGCAAUCCUGGUGGCGAGUGGCGAACGGGUGAGUAAUGUAUCGGAACGUACCUUUCAGUGGGGGAUAACGUAGCGAAAGUUACGCUAAUACCGCAUAUUCUGUGAGCAGGAAAGCAGGGGAUCGCAAGACCUUGCGCUGAUUGAGCGGCCGAUAUCAGAUUAGCUAGUUGGUGAGGUAAAGGCUCACCAAGGCUACGAUGGGUAGCUGGCGUGAGAGCGCGACCAGCCACACUGGAACUGAGACACGGUCCAGACUCCUACGGGAGGCAGCAGUAGGGAAUAUUGGACAAUGGAGGCAACUCUGAUCCAGCCAUGCCGCGUGGAGGAUGACUGCCCUCUGGGUUGUAAACUCCUUUUGUACAGGAAGAAACCUCCUCAUUUAUGAGUGAGCUGACGGUACUGUAAGAAUAAGCACCGGCUAACUCCGUG